GACGAACGCUGGCGGCGCGCCUAAUACAUGCAAGUCGAGCGAAUCAAUAGGAGCUUGCUCCUGUUGGUUAGCGGCGGACGGGUGAGUAACACGUGGGCAACCUGCCUGUAGGACUGGGAUAACACCGGGAAACCGGUGCUAAUACCGGAUAAUCCUUUUCCUCUCAUGAGGAAAAGCUGAAAGACGGUUUCGGCUGUCCCUUACAUAUGGGCCCGCGGCGCAUUAGCUAGUUGGUGAGGUAACGGCUCACCAAGGCGACGAUGCGUAGCCGACCUGGGAGGGUGAUCGGCCACACUGGGACUGAGACACGGCCCAGACUCCUACGGGAGGCAGCAGUAGGGAAUCUUCCACAAUGGACGAAAGUCUGAUGGAGCAACGCCGCGUGAGCGAUGAAGGCCUUCGGGUCGUAAAGCUCUGUUGUUAGGGAAGAACAAGUACAGGAGUAACUGCCGGUACCUUGACGGUACCUAACCAGAAAGCCACGGCUAACUACGUGCCAGCAGCCGCCGUAAAAC
rnacentral:rRNA from 1 species